AUACGGAGGGUGCAAGCGUUGUUCGGAUUCACUGGGUAUAAAGGGUGCGCAGGCGGCCUGUUAAGUCAGGGGUGAAAUAUGACGGCUCAACCGUCAAACUGCCCCUGAAACUGAUAGGCUUGAGUCCGGGAGAGGAAGGUGGAAUUCCAGGUGUAGCGGUGAAAUGCGUAAAUAUCUGGAGGAACACCGGUGGCGAAGGCGGCCUUCUGGCCCGGAACUGACGCUCAGGCACGAAAGCAUGGGGAGCGAACGGGAUUAGAAACCCCAGUAGUCC
rnacentral:rRNA from 1 species